AGGGUGGCUAAUUUUUGCCUUUUUAAGGAAUUUCUUUUGGACGUGACUUGUUCUUGCUCUGGUUUAAUCAUACCAGCUCUCUGUAGGAAAAAGAAAGAGCAGUGGAAAAGCCAUUCUCAUUCUGCAAGACAAACCAUCGACGUUGCGCUUGUGUGGGCAAAUGGACUGCCUGAGUUACUCUGGAGCAGUGAUGGCCUGAUGUCUUUUUGCUAUCUCUGCCUGCAGCAGUGUUGUAGUGCUUUUGUUGAAGGCCCUCAUACCAAUGAUGAAGUGGGAUGUGAUAUCCUGCCAACCUCAUUGUAGCUGCCUGGCACCUGGGCUCUCCCAGCCAUCCCCUUGGUCUGGCCUGCAACCCCAAACUGGUGGAUGUAGGAUCACUGCAUGACUGAGCUUGAGGACGGCUUCAGAAGUAGAGGAACCUCUCUCUUGUGGAGGUGACUGGCACAGGGACAUCCCAGGACUCUUGUUGAGACUGGGGAAAUCUAGCAAGCAGAAUGGACAGCAUCCUCCAGGCUGGAAGGGUUAACAGCAUUGCCGCUUCUCCUCCUCUGUCUUUACUGUUAUCUUGAUUUACAUGUUUGAAAGUAGGGAUGAUUAAUAAUCCACAAACCUUAAUCCUGGAAGGAGAGCUAAGGCACUUAACAUACCAGAGCAUACUACGACGCAACAAAUAAGAAAUGAUGAACAGGACUAACAUUUCUGCUCCUUCCUGAAUAGCGCAAGAGCAACGUCAGAGGUUCCCUGCACCUCCUGGCCCCCAGUAGUGGGGCGAAGACUACCAAAUGGGUUCUACAUCAAAAGGCCACUGUUAAUUCUUUCUGCUGCAGGUACCAUGGUGAUGAGUCUGGCACAAGUGCCUGGAAAUAUAAAUUUAGCUAGCAUGCUGUUCCUGGAGCUGGAUAUAAAUGUCUUCAUUCCAUGUGUGCACUGUUACUCCACAGAUAAGGAAAAAGUGACCUAUAAAGCCUUCCCUGACCUAAGAAGUCAAUUAAAGUACAAAAAAAGAGCAGCUGAGUACAGCAGGGGAAUUCAUCCGCUGUUUAUCAGCUUGGACCUCAAUGCUCACCCACUCAGCACUGGAGUAAGUAUAGAGGGAGGACAAUACAGCCACAGAAGAGAGAAACAAAACCAGGAAAGUAAAAUGGAGGGAAUUCAUCUCUGGGGGAAUUGCACAGUGAAUGCUGAGUUACAUCGGUUUCCAAUAUCUUUUCAGUUCAUAAAGACUGAUCACUACCAGCUUUGUUCUGCGGCCUCUGGUGAAAAAUAAAGGAUCCACUUCAUCCAGAAAAUACUUUGGAGGUCAGAAAGUGUUUUUGUCUCCCCAGGGGUUUUCAGUGCUGGCAGGAGGGGCAGAUUUGGUUUCUCAAAUAUAAAGAGGAGAGCUAACAAUGUCCUGUCUCUGAGCUGGUAGGCAAAGAAGAGGGGAAGUCCUAGUGACCCAGCAGAAACACAGAAUAAAAUCAAAUGGAGACAUGAGCAGCUUAGCCAACCUUUUGCAUGCAGUGGAAUUAAACAUGAAAAGAUGGACUCCCUGUUCCCUCAUACACAAGAAACAGCUGCCUCCUCCCCCUGGAGAAUAGUUUGGAGUGUGUGAUGGGGAUGUAAUAUGACAAGAUUGAAGUUUAAAAGGACAGAAGAAUUUCCGUUGCUUGAGAUGGAGGAAAAUGGUGUUGAAACUUGCAGAAUUUAUGGACUGCUGGGAAAUAGGGUUAUUUCUGAGGACAAUUCCGGAGUCACCCUCACAUCCAGGAACUGAGUGAUGCAGACUGGGGAAUAAUUCUAAGAGGUUUUGAGGAAGAGAGAAAGUAACACGCAAGGAGCCGGCAGUGAGAGGUCACGGUGUUCCUGGCAAGCAAUCUGAGAGCUGCUCCAGGGUCACUGGAAGCAGUGAGUGGGAGGCGCAGGGGAGCUGCUCUGCAGGUGGAGAGCACAAGUGUGCCUUUCUGGAAGCCAAGAUAUGCAAACCUUAUUUAUGUUCCUUUGUGAUUAUCAGAAAAUUGCAACACCCAGCCAAACCCAACCCAGUGUCUGAGAGCACUUUCCAAACGCUCCCUGAGCGCAGCCAUUGGGGCUGUGCCCACUGCCCUGGGCAGCUGUUCUGUGCCCACUGCCCUCUGGUGCAGACCCUUCCCCCAAUCCCCUCCCCUCACACAGCUCCACG
ensembl:lncRNA